rnacentral:rRNA from 1 species
AGCGAACGCUGGCGGCAGGCCUAACACAUGCAAGUCGAACGAACUCUUCGGAGUUAGUGGCGGACGGGUGAGUAACACGUGGGAACGUGCCUUUAGGUUCGGAAUAACUCAGGGAAACUUGUGCUAAUACCGAAUGUGCCCUUCGGGGGAAAGAUUUAUCGCCUUUAGAGCGGCCCGCGUCUGAUUAGCUAGUUGGUGAGGUAAAGGCUCAGCAAGGCGACGAUCAGUAGCUGGUCUGAGAGGAUGAUCAGCCACAUUGGGACUGCGACACGUCCCAAACUCCUCCGGGAGGCAGCAGUGGGGAAUCUUGCGCAAUGGGCGAAAGCCUAACGCAGCCAUGCCGCGUGAAUGGUGAAGGUCUUAGGAUUGUAAAAUUCUUUCACCGGGGAAGAUAAUGACGGUACCCGGAGAAGAAGCCCCGGCUAACUUCGUGCCAGCAGCCGCCGUAA